rnacentral:rRNA from 1 species
CCCUUAGAUGUCCUGGGCCGCACGCGCGCUACACUGACAUGUUCAACAAGUUUCUCCUAGUUCGACAGGACUGGGAAAUCUUUGAACGCAUGUCGUGAUAGGGAUAGAUCAUUGCAAUUAUUGAUCUUGAACGAGGAAUUCCUAGUAAACGCGAGUCAUCAGCUCGCAUUGAUUACGUCCCUGCCCUUUGUACACACCGCCCGUCGCACCUACCGAUUGAAUGUUUCGGUGAAGAUUCCGGAUAGGACUGAUUUGAUUUAUUUCAUUUCUGACCUAAAAGCUAUCCAAACCUCAACAUUUAGAGGAAGGUGAAGUCGUAACA